rnacentral:rRNA from 1 species
UACGUAGGGGGCGAGCGUUGUCCGGAUUUAUUGGGCGUAAAGAGCUCGUAGGCGGCUUGGCAAGUCGGGUGUGAAAACUCCAGGCUCAACCUGGAGACGCCACUCGAGACUGCUAUGGCUAGAGUCCGGUAGGGGACCACGGAAUUCCUGGUGUAGCGGUGAAAUGCGCAGAUAUCAGGAGGAACACCGGUGGCGAAGGCGGCAUCCUGGACCGACACUGACGCUGAGGAGCGAAAGCCAGGGGAGCAAACGGG